AUAUUCCCUGUCUAUAGUCGCAUUUUUUUUCUCUCAAUUGAUGCUUAAAAUUAUUUUGCAAGUUGGAAAAAAAUGCAGUUUUAAUUUCAUUUGCACCAAAUUUAAUAGAUUAAUUAGGAGAGAAUAGAUCUCUUUAAAAUUGAGUCUUCCUCUCCAACUGCAAGGAGACUUGUCUAGAAAAAAAAGUUGUUUCGGCCAAUGCCCAAGAAGUGACUGACUGCCUGUGUUCUCUUCUAGGAUUUUUAUGGUUUGAGGUUUCACGUGUUAAUGCAAGAGUGGAAGGGAGUGUGGAUAAGAUACUAUGGAUAUAAAGUGAUAAUGCAAAAUGAACUGAUUAAUAGAUGGACACAAGAAUGAAUGAUUUGAUGGAUAUGGGCCUAAAAGAAUAUAUAGUUUUAACUGAGGUGUUACCAGCUUAAGAAGUGAGAUAUUUUAGAUGCUUCACUACCUGACAUUUCCAUAUCAAUCCAAAUUCUUAUACUUGUUUAUCAUUUCUGUGGACUUCAUUCUUCAACAGUGCUGCAUGUUUCAUAAGCAAGGACCAAAGAGACUUUGACCACAGGUGGUGAACAAGUAUACAAGAGGAUCAUAGAUACCUUCCUGCAGUGGUUCCAUCCACAGCAUCGCCAAAUUGAUGUUGUUAUUUCCCUCUUUUUGAAGCUCAUUGCAUCAUUGUAUCUCAAAGGGCACAAGUUAUAAAUAUAGAUAUAGAUAUAAAUGUAAAUAUAUAGAUAUAAAUAUAAAUAUAUAAAUAUAAAUAUAAACAUAAAUCUCUUCAGGAAUAGAAGUGGUCUGCUUUUUGGCAAGUAAUGGCCAAGAAUGUUAAGUACUUCUUUGUUCUCUGACUAUAUCUUGAGCUUUUCUCUAUUGUUAUUUACUUCAUUGAUUUUUUUUCUCUAUGUUUUACUUUACAAGUGGGAAUGAGAUUUGCAUGUGGUAAAUAUAAUUAAUGCAACCCCAUGGACACCUUGGUCAUACCAUAGAUUAUAACCAGGCUAUCUCACAAGCUGAGUACCUCCCAUGUGCCAGUUUGGAUACCAUUUGUAAAAUGUGUUGUUCGUCAUUUGAAUCAUGAGCCCUCAGUUGUUAGAGUGGUUGGUCCAAAACAGUAGCCUCUUAAAACAUUUGUGUUACAUGCAAAUAGAUAUUCUGUAGUUUUAGUUUUUAUUCAACCUAGUAGAUCUCACUCUAGAACACGAUCAGAGCCUGACCAUAGUUGACCUCUUCCUUAGUACCCAAAUUUAAGACUUGGAUGCUGUCACAACUCUGGUAGUUUAAGGUAGAACCAGACUCUUUAACUGACAUUUUUAGCCUUGGCAAUGCCAUCCUGUAGAACACAUGGUUCUAUGAUUUUAUUGGUAUCACUAGAAUUUUGAAAUUGGGAGUAAAGAAUUCAAGGCAACCAAGAUAUUUCACUUUUAUUCACAUUAUCCUGACUUUUAUUUGUUUUCUGUUUAAUCUAAAUAGGCUUAAUACAGAUGGCUGUGUUUAUUGGAAGUUUUAAUUGACUACUUCUAAAACAUAAACUGUAUUAUAAUCAGGGAACUGCUAUCUGCAUUGCCCAACUUGUCUUAGUAGACAGGUUUGACACAUAGCACACUGAAAUAGGGCCAAUAAUAGGAUUAUUAAACAGUUUAAAGCAAAAUUUGGUCAUUCAUUCUUCAUCUUUCAUUCCUACUUCCUAGGUGUAACAAGCAUUAAUCAGUUAUGCUACAGUUAAUAUUUCUAAGCUCAUACAGUUUAUGCGCAAUUUAUUUUACAAAUAAGACAUUAUGGUUUUUGCAGCUAUAUUUUUUAUUAAAUAUACUGUGGAUGUAUUUCUAACCCAAUAAAUGUAGUUUCUCUACA